GGAGUGCCCGAUGGAGGUCGGCGACGACCACCGCCAGGUGCAAAGUUGGUCAAACUUGGUCAUUUAGAGGAAGUAAAAGUCGUAACAAGGUUUCCGUAGGUGAACCUGCGGAAGGAUCAUUACAAAUGUCUGGGAUGUCCAAUCGGGCCCCCAAGCAAACACAUCCAUGUGUACACUCCCAUGUUGCUUCCCCAGAUCAGUGGCCACUGCUGCCAGCCCACCCCCUCAAUUGGGGUCCUGGGUUGAGGUGUCUGGGGAAGGGCCCAAUAACAAACCUUUGAACCAAUUAGUUGUCUGAGUAGGCCACCCGCCGCAAUCUUUAAAACAUGUUAAAACUUUCAACAACGGAUCUCUUGGCUCUCGCAUCGAUGAAGAACGCAGCGAAAUGCGAUAAGUAAUGUGAAUUGCAGAAUUCAGUGAAUCAUCGAAUCUUUGAACGCACAUUGCGCCCUUUGGUAUUCCUUAGGGCAUGCCUGUUCGAGCGUCACUAAAAACCCCCUCACAGAUAAUGUGGUAUUGGUAGAAGUGAACGGUACUUACAUUACCUUGUCUCACUCUGCUGAAAUGAAUAGGCCAGAGAAGUGGACCCAUGGUAAUUGACUCUAGGAGUGUUUUUCAAUGCUAAACUAGUCUUUACCCAAGUCAAAUUCUGAGCUACCGGACCCCCCAUUAAGUCCAAAACAGAGUGGUUGACCUCGGAUCAGGUAGGGAUACCCGCUGAACUUAAGCAUAUCAAUAAGCGGAGGAAAANAAACCAACAGGGAUUGCCUUAGUAACGGCGAGUGAAGCGGCAAAAGCUCAAAUUUGAAAUCUAACACUUCUGGUGUUCGAGUUGUACUUUGGAGAGGCAUCUUCUGGAGGGGCCCAGCCUAUGUGCCUUG
rnacentral:rRNA from 1 species